UUGGUUUUGAACUCCUGGACUCAAGCAUCCUCCGGCCUUGGCCUCCCAGUGUUGGGAUUGCAGGUAUGAGCUGCCGUGCCUGGCUGGAUUGCAUUUUAGUAUAUUUGUCACAUCUUGUUCUUCAAAAUCUCCUGGUUCUAGAUGAAAUAGCACAAAAACUGGCAUCAGAAAGUGAAGUGGUCUGAAGAAUCCAGACACAGAACUCCUGCACUUCUUCAUCAGGAGACCCACAGAGCUUCCCACGCAACCAUGGCCUCAAAGGGAGUCUUGGAUGCUGAUUCUUUUGAAGAUGCAUUUUUUAAACAAAAGGGAUUCCCCUAUAUGCUGGUGUGCCUGACAAUUCUUUCUUUUCCACCACUUCAUAGAGAACUUUCAGACAAAUGUCCAUUUGUACCUAUCAGGCCAUACGUUGCUAAAUAAAUAAAUAAAUCUU
rnacentral:lncRNA from 1 species